AUGGCGGGAGGAGGGGGCUUCCUUCCAGAGCAAGGAGCCAAGAUAGCAGCAGCUGUGUUCCGAGUCGCUUUGCAGGACUGGAGGAGCUGCCUCCGUCGGAGCUACGGGCGACGGAAGCUGAGCCAGACCCAGGGGCCUCCUGAUAACCCCGACUUUGUGGAGUCUGUGGAUGAAUACCAAUUUGUGGAGCGCCUGCUCCCCCCCUACCAAAAUCCCAGAGCUGCCAAAACAUAAACAUUACCCCACUCUUAGUGGCUGGCAGCCUCCCAGAGAUCCCCUUCCCAGCUUGUCCUACUUUGUUCGUCGCUCUCGGAUGCACAACAUUCCUGUCUACAAGGAGAUCACACAUGGCAACCAACAGAUGACCUUGAUUCGGAAGGUGGAAGGUGACAUCUGGGCCCUACAGAAGGAUGUGGAAGAAUCUCUGAGCCCGCUGCUGGGAAAGACACCUGUCACCCAGGUUAACGAGGUGACAGGUACUCUUCGAACCAAGGGCUACUUUGAUGAACAGCUUAAAGCCUGGCUUCUGGAGAAAGGCUUCUGGGGCCUGAUGGCCAGCCCUGUGGCAGUGCUCGACACAGACUGGCCUCCAGAGAGGAGGUGGAGUUGCAGUCUCUGGAACAGGAUACAAAGAACAGGGCUCAAGUACUUAGGAUGA